rnacentral:rRNA from 1 species
UACGGGGGGGGCAAGCGUUGUUCGGAAUUACUGGGCGUAAAGGGCUCGUAGGCGGCCAACUAAGUCAGACGUGAAAUCCCCAGGCUCAACCUGGGAACUGCGUCUGAUACUGGAUGGCUUGGAUUUGGGAGAGGGAUGCGGAAUUCCAGGUGUAGCGGUGAAAUGCGUAGAUAUCUGGAGGAACACCGGUGGCGAAGGCGGCAUCCUGGACCAAUAUUGACGCUGAGGAGCGAAAGCUAGGGGAGCAAACGGG